GAAAUACUAGUAAAAAUAUUACACCGCCUUGUCAAGGCAGAAUUGCAGGUUAAACCCCUGCGCAUCUCA
rnacentral:tRNA from 1 species